GCAUCGGUGGUUCAGUGGUAGAAUGCUCGCCUGCCACGCGGGCGGUCCGGUUAAACUGGCGAAACCGCUGGGAGGGUUCACCACUGAUGAGCCA